UUACUCUGGUUUCUCUUCAGAUUGCAAUAAUCUUUCACCUUUUACUAAAAAUUUCCGUGGAGAGGAACAAUUCUGAGUUUUGAACUUUAAACUUUACUAAAAAGCAAUAGUUAUCA